rnacentral:rRNA from 1 species
GGCUUUUUGAGUAUAAUUUAAAGUYUAACCUGCCCUAUGAUUUUAUAAUUGAAUGGCCGCAGUAUUUUGACUGUGCAAAGGUAGCAUAAUCAAUAGUUUUCUAAUUAAAAGCUUGUAUGAAAGGUUUGAUGAAAAAAUAACUGUCUCUAUAUAAUUAUUUAGAAUUUUAUUUUUAAGUAAAAAAGCUUAAAUAUUUUUAGAAGACGAGAAGACCCUAUAGAGUUUUAUAUUUAUUUUUAUUAAUUAAUUUAAGGAUUAUAAGUUUAAUAUAAUUAAGUAUUUAAUUGGGGUGAUUUAAAAAUUUAAAUAACUUUUUUUUUAUAAAAUCAUAAAUGAGUGAAUAUUUAAUCUUUUUUUAAAAAAAUAAGUUAAAAUUACCUUAGGGAUAACAGCGUAAUAUUUUUUAGAGUUCUUAUCGAAAAAAAAGAUUGCGACCUCGAUGUUGGAUUAAAAAAAAUUAUUAGUGUAGAAGCUAAUAAAUUAGGUCUGUUCGACCUUUAAAAUUUUACAUGAUCUGAGUUUAAACCGGYGYGAG